UGUUCUAUGAAUGGUGUCGGACCUCCCCC
rnacentral:piRNA from 1 species